rnacentral:rRNA from 2 species
UCUAAGGUUGACCUCAGAUCAGGUAGGAAUACCCGCUGAACUUAAGCAUAUCAAUAAGCGGAGGAAAAGAAACAACAGGGAUUGCCUAGUAACGGCGAGUGAAGCGGCAACAGCUCAAAUUUGAAAUCUGGCUCUCGGGCCCGAGUUGUAAUUUGUAGAGGAUGUUUCUGGCAAGGUGCCUUCCGAGUUCCCUGGAACGGGACGCCAUAGAGGGUGAGAGCCCCGUACGGUUGGUUGCCGCGCCUCUGUGAAACUCCUUCGACGAGUCGAGUAGUUUGGGAAUGCUGCUCUAAAUGGGAGGUAUACGUCUUCUAAAGCUAAAUACCGGCCAGAGACCGAUAGCGCACAAGUAGAGUGAUCGAAAGAUGAAAAGCACUUUGAAAAGAGGGUUAAAUAGUACGUGAAAUUGUUGAAAGGGAAGCACUUAUGACCAGACUUGGGCCGGUUGAUCAUCCGUCGUUCUCGGCGGUGCACUCUGCCGGCUCAGGCCAGCAUCAGUUUGGUCUGGGGGAUAAAGGUUUCGGGAAUGUGGCUCCUCCGGGAGUGUUAUAGCCCGUUGCGUAAUACCCUGGAUCAGACUGAGGUUCGCGCUCUGCAAGGAUGCUGGCGUAAUGGUCAUCAGUGACCCGUCUUGAAACACGGACCAAGGAGUCGUCUUCGUAUGCGAGUGUUCGGGUGUCAAACCCCUACGCGUAAUGAAAGUGAACGUAGGAGAGAGCUUCGGCGCAUCUCCGACCGAUCCUGAUGUUCUCGGAUGGAUUUGAGUAAGAGCAUACGGGGCCGGACCCGAAAGAAGGUGAACUAUGCCUGUAUAGGGUGAAGCCAGAGGAAACUCUGGUGGAGGCUCGCAGCGGUUCUGACGUGCAAAUCGAUCGUCAAAUAUGGGCAUGGGGGCGAAAGACUAAUCGAACCUUCUAGUAGCUGUUUCC